rnacentral:tRNA from 1 species
CCACCUGUAGCUCAGCUGGUAGAGCGCUCGUUUGAAGAACGAGAGGCCGCAGGCUCGGUCCCUGCCGGGUGGACCA